rnacentral:rRNA from 1 species
UACGGAGGGAGCUAGCGUUAUUCGGAAUUACUGGGCGUAAAGCGCACGUAGGCGGCUUUGUAAGUUAGAGGUGAAAGCCUGGAGCUCAACUCCAGAACUGCCUUUAAGACUGCAUCGCUUGAAUCCAGGAGAGGUGAGUGGAAUUCCGAGUGUAGAGGUGAAAUUCGUAGAUAUUCGGAAGAACACCAGUGGCGAAGGCGGCUCACUGGACCGUUGUUGACGCUGAGGUGCGAAAGCGUGGGGAGCAAACAGG